CCUACGUGAGGCAGCAGUGGGGAAUAUUGCGCAAUGGGCGAAAGCCUGACGCAGCGACGCCGCGUGAGGGAUGAAGGUCUUCGGAUCGUAAACCUCUGUCAGCAGGGAAGAACGGUCACUGUGCUAAUCAGCAGUGAAUUGACGGUACCUGCAAAGGAAGCACCGGCUAACUCCGUGCCAGCAGCCGCGGUAAUCCGGAGGGUGCGAGCGUUAAUCGGAAUUACUGGGCGUAAAGCGCUCGUAGGCGGUAUGUCAAGUCAAGGGUGAAAUCCCCGCGCUCAACGUGGGAACUGCCUUUGAAACUGGCAAACUGGAGUGUGUGAGAGGAUAGUGGAAUUCCAGGUGUAGGAGUGAAAUCCGUAGAUAUCUGGAGGAACAUCAGUGGCGAAGGCGACUAUCUGGCACAUAACUGACGCUGAGGAGCGAAAGCGUGGGUAGCAAACAGGAUUAGAUACCCUGGUAGUC
rnacentral:rRNA from 1 species